GACGAACGCUGGCGGCGUGCUUAACACAUGCAAGUCGAACGGUGAAGCGCCUUCCUUUUUGGUGGGUGUGGAUGAGUGGCGAACGGGUGAGUAACACGUGAGUAACCUGCCCCCUUCUUCUGGAUAACCGCAUGAAAGUGUGGCUAAUACGGGAUAUUCUGGGUCUGUCGCAUGAUGGGUCUGGGAAAGAUAUUGUUUCGGUGGGGGAUGGGCUCGCGGCCUAUCAGCUUGUUGGGGGGGUGAUGGCCUACCAAGGCGGUGACGGGUAGCCGGCCUUAGAGGGUGGACGGUCACACUGGGACUGAGACACGGCCCAGACUCCUACGGGAGGCAGCAGUGGGGAAUAUUGCACAAUGGGCGGAAGCCUGAUGCAGCGACGCCGCGGGAGGGAUGGAGGCCUUCGGGUUGUGAACCUCUUUCGCCAGUGAAGCAGGCCUGCCUCGUUUGUGGGUGGGUUGACGGUAGCUGGAUAAGAAGCGCCGGCUAACUACGUG
rnacentral:rRNA from 1 species